rnacentral:rRNA from 1 species
ACGCUCGACACCUACGGGGGGCAGCAGUCGGGAAUAUUGCGCAAUGGAGGAAACUCUGACGCAGUGACGCCGCGUGCAGGAAGAAGGUUUUCGGAUUGUAAACUGCUUUAGACAGGGAAGAAAGAAAUGACAGUACCUGUAGAAUAAGCUCCGGCUAACUACGUGUCAGCAGCCGCGGUAUCUGAGCGGGCGUGGCAAGGC